rnacentral:rRNA from 1 species
CUGCUCAGAUUGAACGCUGGCGGCAGGCCUAACACAUGCAAGUCGAGCGGUAGCACAGAAGAGCUUGCUCUUUGGGUGACGAGCGGCGGACGGGUGAGUAAUGUCUGGGAAACUGCCUGAUGGAGGGGGAUAACUACUGGAAACGGUAGCUAAUACCGCAUAACCUCGCAAGAGCAAAGAGGGGGACCUUCGGGCCUCUCGCCAUCAGAUGUGCCCAGAUGGGAUUAGCUAGUAGGUGAGGUAAUGGCUCACCUAGGCGACGAUCCCUAGCUGGUCUGAGAGGAUGACCAGCCACACUGGAACUGAGACACGGUCCAGACUCCUACGGGAGGCAGCAGUGGGGAAUAUUGCACAAUGGGCGCAAGCCUGAUGCAGCCAUGCCGCGUGUGUGAAGAAGGCCUUCGGGUUGUAAAGCACUUUCAGCGGGGAGGAAGGCGGUAAGGUUAAUAACCUUAUCGAUUGACGUUACCCGCAGAAGAAGCACCGGCUAACUCCGUGCCAGCAGCCGCGGUAAUACGGAGGGUGCAAGCGUUAAUCGGAAUGACUGGGCGUAAAGCGCACGCAGGCGGUCUGUUAAGUUGGAUGUGAAAUCCCCGGGCUUAACCUGGGAACUGCAUUCAAAACUGACAGGCUAGAGUCUUGUAGAGGGGGGUAGAAUUCCAGGUGUAGCGGUGAAAUGCGUAGAGAUCUGGAGGAAUACCGGUGGCGAAGGCGGCCCCCUGGACAAAGACUGACGCUCAGGUGCGAAAGCGUGGGGAGCAAACAGGAUUAGAUACCCUGGUAGUCCACGCUGUAAACGAUGUCGAUUUGGAGGUUGUGCCCUUGAGGCGUGGCUUCCGGAGCUAACGCGUUAAAUCGACCGCCUGGGGAGUACGGCCGCAAGGUUAAAACUCAAAUGAAUUGACGGGGGCCCGCACAAGCGGUGGAGCAUGUGGUUUAAUUCGAUGCAACGCGAAGAACCUUACCUACUCUUGACAUCCAGAGAACUUAGCAGAGAUGCUUUGGUGCCUUCGGGAACUCUGAGACAGGUGCUGCAUGGCUGUCGUCAGCUCGUGUUGUGAAAUGUUGGGUUAAGUCCCGCAACGAGCGCAACCCUUAUCCUUUGUUGCCAGCGAUUCGGUCGGGAACUCAAAGGAGACUGCCGGUGAUAAACCGGAGGAAGGUGGGGAUGACGUCAAGUCAUCAUGGCCCUUACGAGUAGGGCUACACACGUGCUACAAUGGCGUAUACAAAGAGAAGCGACCUCGCGAGAGCAAGCGGACCUCAUAAAGUACGUCGUAGUCCGGAUUGGAGUCUGCAACUCGACUCCAUGAAGUCGGAAUCGCUAGUAAUCGUAGAUCAGAAUGCUACGGUGAAUACGUUCCCGGGCCUUGUACACACCGCCCGUCACACCAUGGGAGUGGGUUGCAAAAGAAGUAGGUAGCUUAACCUUCGGGAGGGCGCUUACCACUUUGUGAUUCAUGACUGGGGUGAAGUCGUAACAAGGUAACCGUAGGGGAACCUGCGGCUGGAUCCC